ACAGAGAUGACGGUUCUGGAAAUUAAAGGAGUCAUUGUUUUAUUUACAAUGUGGAGUAAUGGAUUCUUAUUUUUUCCUAUAAUUUUUUUUUCUACCUGGUAGCAAGGCCUCGAGUUUGACUGCAUUUUAACAAGACACAAGAGAAUCAGAGGAAGCUUUUGAUUAGGGCUGGACUUUGUUUUCCAGGCUUGCCGAGACAAAGGGGAAUCAGGCAUGUGAUCUCCUUUUCCAGCUAAUUUCACAGAAGACCUGGAAGAGGAAGGCAGCCUGGAGAGUCCCCAUGAAGGUCCCCACGGGCCCAGAUUUCGCCCUUUUGCUGGCCUGGCCUGAAGGAUCCCAGCAUGCUGCCACCAGGCCACUGCAGCUGUUCACGUGCCCCUGUUUGGGGAAGUGAGGCCUGGGAAAGCAACAGCGCAGGGUUACAGUUUGUCCCACAUCAACGGAAUUUUGACCUGAGAGCUGGCUUCCUCCUCUCAGCAUGCUGGUCCUGGCAAGUCCCAUCACCAGCCAGCCUUCCCAAAGAGGAACGCCUUAGGGUUGGCUCCAGCCCCUCAACUUCCUCUUUCUUCCCUAGUUCCCUUGCAAGGAUGACCCAGGGCCCCCCGCUGGCUCCCAGCAGCUCCAAGAUGGUGGGAAUCUGAAGGAUGGCAGAACAGAACUGGGACCAGUGGUCUGAAGCCAGCAAGAGGCUGAUUUCAGCUCAAAAAAAGUGUCCAGAUUCAACUGAAGCUCUAUUUCUUCAUCCUUUCCCUUCUUCUCCAAAGUGUGUCGUCUACCUCCAGUGGUUCCCUGGCUGAUACAAUGUACAUAAACCAGGUUAAUGACGCUGAAGAUCCCGACUAGAGCACCACAUUCUCAAGUGCACCGUGGGAACUGAUGCUGGCAACGAUGCAUCCGUUUCCUCCAGGGACAUGGUGACCUGAUCUGCCUUCAGCAAAGACACAGCGUACUUCAUCUUGCAUUCUUUUUUCACAAAAGGAGUGGUGAACCCAGAAAUAGGUUGAGUAAUCACUAUCUUGAGAGAGUAUUUGGCAUUUAGAGAAAAACACCAGCUUUGGGAUCAGCCUUCCCCAGCUCUCCUACCUCCCUCUGGCUGAUAUCGGACAAGUUACCACUCUGGGCCUCAAUAUCUUAGUCUGUUAAAUGGGACAAAACAUAUCUAGUCUACAGGGCUUUAAAAAGUAACAAAUUUUAAAUGCCUGGUCCAGAGUAUGUCUUUAAUAAAUCUAAAUUCUCUCCCCCUUUA